UUUCUUUGUUAAAAAUCCCUUUAUUUUUUAGUUUACAGCAAAAAAAUACCUGACCUAAAUGUCUUGUUCUUUGAAAACAGAAUUUUUAUGAGAAUGGAGUACCAUUACUCAGAUCUUUGUAUACCAACGGAGCAUCUUCUAACAGAUCACUAUAACACAACAGAAUAUGCUCCUCAAUACCUCAUGCCAAGCCAGGAAGGAGAGUAUGAGGCACGCAGCAGUGUACUUGUGGAUGGAGGAGACCGUUUUGGAGUUUCAGCGGUUGCGUUUGACAAGUAUGAGGAACUCAUAUGGAUGGGGAAUCAAGGAGGUCAUGUAACAUCUUACUAUGGGCCAAGUAUGCAAAAAUAUACGUCAUUCCAAAUUCAUGAAAGUGAAGAAGUGAGAGACAUUGUUACUGUGGAGCAAGGUAUCUAUUGCUUAACAAAGUCAAGUUUGAGACAUCAAAUUCGAAGAGGUAUUCCCAAACAUUCAUUUAGGUCAGGUAAUAUGGUGGACAUGCAGUGUUUGUUCCAACAAAGCUCAGACAAGCUUUUGAUAGGAGGCCACCAAAACAAACUCAUUGAUUUGGAUUUAGGAAAAAUGAAAGAAACUGUGAUACCAAUUCAAGAAGAAGGCUGUGCAGUUUUGCGCAGUGGUGGGGGAUCUCUUGUUGCUUGUGGCAGCGCCUGUGGCAUGGUAGCACUACGCGAUUUAAGAAGCCCUAAAACAGCCGAACAUACCUUCAAAGCCCACAGCGCAUGUCUAUCUGAUUUAGAUAUGCGUGGUGACCUUUUAAUUACUUGUGGUUUUACCCAGUCCGUCGAUGGAGUAGCUGUGGCGGAGCCCUAUGUAAUAGUUUGGGAUGUACGCUGCCUCAAGGGUAAUACCACUGAAAAUGAAGGCGCCUGGUCUAUACAGGUGGCAUCACCACCUCUUCUACUACACUUUGUUCCUGCUUUCUCUGGGAGAGUUGUAGCUUUAUCAGGUGACGGCCACGUAGCUUUACUGCACGUCAAUUCUAAUGAGCAUGAGGAACAGUCCAUUUUUCAGGUGGAUACAAACAAUUCAGUAUGUAGUGUAUUAGACGUGUCUGCGACGAGCCAAGCUUUGGUAUUUGGAGACCAGUCAGGACAUCUGCACCUCUUUUCGCCCCAGCAUAACCAUGAGCCAGUUUUCAAUAAUUUUUCAAGAGACACAGAAUUCGGAGAUCCGUUACCUGAUCUACCAACAGUGAGUUUCAAUGACACAACAUUCCAAUUCUCAAGUAUUCCACUACCUUCUCUGACGACCGGCAGUAAGUGGUUCAACGACUUGCCGGCUGAGUUCUUCAAGAAAGUUUUUAGGAAACCGAAACCUAUAGAUCCAGAAGUCCUGAAAACAAUGAAAAUGCAAGGUCCUAUUGGGUACGCACCAAACAAUAAAACUUGUAGGAGAAAUCAGAUGCCGUACACAGAAGACACUUUAGAAGAUUUAAAUUCCCCCAAAAAAGAGGAGAUCAAGAUUGUUCCUCAACCUAUUCCCAAGCACUAUCAAAAGAUGGAUGUUCGUUACAAUAAACAAUCAUCCAACGAUAACGCAGAGCUUGAGAACUUGAACAAAUCGGGACUACCGGGGCUUGAAGCGACGUUGCCUAAUUCCUACUGCAACCCCAUGCUACAGGUCCUAUAUUACAUACCACCAGUAAAAGCUACUCUAUUGGCCCACACAUGCGCUAAAGAGUUUUGUCUCAGCUGUGAAUUAGGCUUCCUGUUCAGAAUGUUGGACACGUCAGGCGGAGCGCCGUGUCAAGCAACCAACUUCCUGCGAGCUUUCCGGACUGUCCCCGAAGCUGCGGCAUUGGGUCUCAUUUUACCCGACCGAGGUGCAGACUCGAGAGUAGACUUGGUAGCGUUGAUACAGAGUUGGAACCGUUUCAUCCUCCACCAAAUCCACUACGAGAUUCUCGAAACGCGCAAGAAGGAAAAAGAACUUGCUUAUAUAGCGAACUCAAGUCCGCCGAAGCAACGAUUGGCCAACAACAAGCUAAGGAAUGUUGCCACUCCUACUGUCAACGGGCAGUAUGAAGAGUAUCCGUACACGGAGUUGGAAUUUCUUGGGUCGGCGGAAUUUGAUGGUCAAGAAGAGUUUCAAGAAGUAAGAGAAGAUGGCUGGCAUACUAGUCAGAAUCAAGAAGGAGCCGGUGAUAACAAUCAGGUUCAAAACUGUGUCAACCACGACUUGGUAAACAAUCAUCAAUCGGAGAGAGAAGAGUCUGAUAUAUCGGAGUUGUUCGCUAUCGGCAGAAAUCAGCUAAAUAGGUGUUUGAAAUGUAACAAGGAGGAGGAACGCGAGUCAGUAGUUCUGGCCUGUGCGCUGCAGUACAGCCAUUUCGGGGCAGGCGCGGGGCGGGGUGAGGUCAGCGGGGAGGUGCGAGGGUUCGCAGAGUUAGUUCGUGCGUCGUUAGCUGCACGUCGUAGCACGCCAGCGUGGUGCGAUCAGUGUUCACGAUUCACGCCUACUACACAGCGGGGACGCAUUAUGCGAUUGCCGCCAAUUCUUGCGAUAAAUUGCGGCGGGGUGACAAUGCACGAGAAGGCUUACUGGGCGAAGGGUAGUCCGAAGGACGGGAUUGAAUCGAAGAGAGGUGGCAGUAGUAAGCCGUGCCGGUAUGGCCUUCACUGCGCACGACCUGGAUGUCGCUUCAAGCAUCUUGACAGACCAAUCUCUUCUCAGAACAAUUCGUUGAAGAGUCCGACGCAUGAGUCGCAUUGUGUUCUACCUCAUCAACUUGUGAUUAGAUUGCAAUCCGAUGGAGAUGUUAUUAUCACUGAUAAGGCUGAUCAAUUACCCACCGAGUCUCCCAAACCAGAAUUACAGAAGAACAAAAAGAAGAACAUUACAACGCAAUCUGAGGAGGAAUACACAUUAUGUGCGGCAGUGGUGUGCGUAGAGGACAAUCCUAAAAAUCUGGUCGCGUAUGUUCAAACCGCGUCUAAGGACUCUGAACCGCAUUGGUAUUUGUUCAAUGAUUUAUGCAUUGUCCCUGUGUGCGCGGAGGAGGUAGUCCAUUUCGGUGCAUGGUGGAAGACGCCGUGUGUGCUCUUCUACAUGACGCGCAGUGAUCGGCAGGUGGUCCACGAUGAGAAUCACUCAUAGCCGCCGCUUAUGUAUGGGCCCUACAGCAAAAGUGUUGUUGGCCUAUACGACUUAAACGAAAUAUACUAUCAAGUACCUUCAGGAGGACAUUACUUCGUACAGUGAUUCCAAUAAGCUCAAGUGUGAAUUAUUCCUCAUAGCACAAAAUAAAAUGUCAGAACAAGAUUUCGAACAGAACACAGCGCUUAGUAUUACUUGUUCUGUUUUAUCUAUUAAGGUUAUGGUCCUGAAAGUAAGUAAUCAAUGUAAGUUAAAAUCUUCAUAUAUAUCAAGUACAUACUUCACUUCAUCAACCCAAUUCAUACGUCCCAUUGUUGUCCACGGGUCUCCUCUCCGGCGAGGGUUCAGCCAUAGUCCACUACGAUUGACAGGCGGUAGGCCAAACUGUUAUGCUGCCACGGCAAGUACAUACUGAUGGAUUUUUACUGGCUUUCAAAGUGUAUUUUGGG